rnacentral:rRNA from 1 species
UAAUUUUUAACGGCCGCAGUAUAUUGACUGUGCUAAGGUAGCAUAAUAGUUUGUCUUUUAAUUAGAGUCUUGUAUAAAUGAUUUAAUAUAUAUUAACUUUCUUUUAAAAAUCAAUAGAAUUUAAUUAUUAAGUUAAAAGGCUUAAAUUUACAAAAUAGACGAUAAGACCCUAUAAAAUUUUACUUCAUAAUAUUUGAGAUUAUUCGUUUAAAAAAAAAAUAAAUUACAAUUAUUAAAUUAGUUUGACUGGGGCGGUAAAAGAUUAUUUAGUAACAUCUUAAAUAAUAUAACAUUAAUACGGUGAAUUUUGAGGAACCUUAUAAAAAGAUCAAUAAACUAAAUUACUUUAGGGAUAACAGCGUAAUUUCUUUGGAAAGUUCAUAUUGAUAAAGAA